UACGUAGGUGGCAAGCGUUGUUCGGAAUCACUGGGCAUAAAGCGCGCGUAGGCGGCCAGGUAAGUCAGGUGUGAAAGCCCUCGGCUCAACCGAGGAACGGCGCUUGAUACUGUCUGGCUUGAGGUCCGGAGGGGAGAGUGGAAUUCCCGGUGGAGCGGUGAAAUGCGUAGAGAUCGGGAAGAACGCCGGCGGCGAAAGCGACUCUCUGGUCGGAAUCUGACGCUGAGGCGCGAAAGCUAGGGGAG
rnacentral:rRNA from 1 species